GUUAAACUGAAUGGACAUUUAAGAUGAUAGGACACUGCUCCAAUGAUGAAAAGGCUCGGUGAGGUGUAGCCGGAGUUUGUUCCCAGGUGAACGUAUUACAGAUAAACUUAAUCAACCUUGAGAUGACAGAUUAUCUUCAAUAAUUUAGAACAGUUGGUGCUACAAGCCAAAUGAUGCUGGUCAUAGAAUAUUUGACCUUCACAAAACGACCAAUGAAUGACAUCUGUACUCAUUGCUGACUGUUAGAGAAGGUGAGAAUUUAUGUGAUAAGCAUGUACUAAUAAAGAUAGUGCUAAUC